UGCCAGCAGCCGCGGUAAUACGGAGGGGGCUAUCGUCGUUCGGAAUUACUGGGCGUAAAGCGCACGUAGGCGGACUAUUAAGUCAGGGGUGAAAUCCCGGGGCUCAACCCCGGAACUGCCUCUGAUACUGGUAGUCUUGAGUUCGAGAGAGGUGAGUGGAAUUCCGAGUGUAGAGGUGAAAUUCGUAGAUAUUCGGAGGAACACCAGUGGCGAAGGCGGCUCAAUGGCUCGAUACGGAAGCGGAGGUGAGAAAGCGUGGGGAGCAAACAGGAGUAGAUA
rnacentral:rRNA from 1 species